UAAUACGUAGGUGGCAAGCGUUGUCCGGAAUUAUUGGGCGUAAAGCGCGCGCAGGCGGUCUCUUAAGUCUGAUGUGAAAGCCCACGGCUCAACCGUGGAGGGUCAUUGGAAACUGGGAGACUUGAGUACAGAAGAGGAGAGUGGAAUUCCAUGUGUAGCGGUGAAAUGCGUAGAUAUAUGGAGGAACACCAGUGGCGAAGGCGACUCUCUGGUCUGUAACUGACGCUGAGGCGCGAAAGCGUGGGGAGCAAACAGGAUUAGAUACCCUGGUAGUCCACGCCGUAAACGAUGAGUGCUAGGUGUUAGGGGCUUCGAUACCCUUAGUGCCGAAGUUAACACAUUAAGCACUCCGCCUGGGGAGUACGACCGCAAGGUUG
rnacentral:rRNA from 1 species